UACGGAGGGUGCAAGCGUUAUCCGGAUUCACUGGGUUUAAAGGGUGCGUAGGUGGGUGGGUAAGUCAGUGGUGAAAUCCCCGAGCUUAACUUGGGAACUGCCAUUGAUACUAUUGAUCUUGAAUACCGUGGAGGUCAGCGGAAUAUGUCAUGUAGCGGUGAAAUGCUUAGAUAUGACAUAGAACACCAAUUGCGAAGGCAGCUGGCUACGCGAAUAUUGACACUGAUGCACGAAAGCGUGGGGAUCAAACAGG
rnacentral:rRNA from 1 species